rnacentral:rRNA from 1 species
GAUGAACGCUGGCGGCGUGCCUAAUACAUGCAAGUCGAGCGAACGGACGAGAAGCUUGCUUCUCUGAUGUUAGCGGCGGACGGGUGAGUAACACGUGGAUAACCUACCUAUAAGACUGGGAUAACUUCGGGAAACCGGAGCUAAUACCGGAUAAUAUUUUGAACCGCAUGGUUCAAAAGUGAAAGACGGUCUUGCUGUCACUUAUAGAUGGAUCCGCGCUGCAUUAGCUAGUUGGUAAGGUAACGGCUUACCAAGGCAACGAUGCAUAGCCGACCUGAGAGGGUGAUCGGCCACACUGGAACUGAGCCCCGGUCCAGACGCCUGCGGGAGGCAGCAGGAGGGAAUCUGCCGCAAAGGGCGUAAGCCUGACAUAGCAACGUCGCGUGAGUGAUGAAGUGUGUCGGAUCGUAAAACUUUGUUAUCAGUGAAGAAAAUAUGUGUAAGGAACUGUGCACAUCUUGACGGUACCUAAGCAGAAAGCCACGGCUAACUACGUG